rnacentral:rRNA from 1 species
GGGUUGUGAGGUUAAGCGACUAAGCGUACACGGUGGAUGCCCUGGCAGUCAGAGGCGAUGAAGGACGUGCUAAUCUGCGAUAAGCGUCGGUAAGGUGAUAUGAACCGUUAUAACCGGCGAUUUCCGAAUGGGGAAACCCAGUGUGAUUCGUCACACUAUCAUUAACUGAAUCCAUAGGUUAAUGAGGCGAACCGGGGGAACUGAAACAUCUAAGUACCCCGAGGAAAAGAAAUCAACCGAGAUUCCCCCAGUAGCGGCGAGCGAACGGGGAGCAGCCCAGAGCCUGAAUCAGUGUGUGUGUUAGUGGAAGCGUCUGGAAAGGCGCGCGAUACAGGGUGACAGCCCCGUACACAAAAAUGCACAUACUGUGAGCUCGAUGAGUAGGGCGGGACACGUGGUAUCCUGUCUGAAUAUGGGGGGACCAUCCUCCAAGGCUAAAUACUCCUGACUGACCGAUAGUGAACCAGUACCGUGAGGGAAAGGCGAAAAGAACCCCGGCGAGGGGAGUGAAAAAGAACCUGAAACCGUGUACGUACAAGCAGUGGGAGCACAGAGCAAUCUGUGUGACUGCGUACCUUUUGUAUAAUGGGUCAGCGACUUAUAUUCUGUAGCAAGGUUAACCGAAUAGGGGAGCCGAAGGGAAACCGAGUCUUAACUGGGCGUUAAGUUGCAGGGUAUAGACCCGAAACCCGGUGAUCUAGCCAUGGGCAGGUUGAAGGUUGGGUAACACUAACUGGAGGACCGAACCGACUAAUGUUGAAAAAUUAGCGGAUGACUUGUGGCUGGGGGUGAAAGGCCAAUCAAACCGGGAGAUAGCUGGUUCUCCCCGAAAGCUAUUUAGGUAGCGCCUCGUGAAUUCAUCUCCGGGGGUAGAGCACUGUUUCGGCAAGGGGGUCAUCCCGACUUACCAACCCGAUGCAAACUGCGAAUACCGGAGAAUGUUAUCACGGGAGACACACGGCGGGUGCUAACGUCCGUCGUGAAGAGGGAAACAACCCAGACCGCCAGCUAAGGUCCCAAAGUCAUGGUUAAGUGGGAAACGAUGUGGGAAGGCCCAGACAGCCAGGAUGUUGGCUUAGAAGCAGCCAUCAUUUAAAGAAAGCGUAAUAGCUCACUGGUCGAGUCGGCCUGCGCGGAAGAUGUAACGGGGCUAAACCAUGCACCGAAGCUGCGGCAGCGACGCUGAUGCGUUGUUGGGUAGGGGAGCGUUCUGUAAGCCUGCGAAGGUGUGCUGUGAGGCAUGCUGGAGGUAUCAGAAGUGCGAAUGCUGACAUAAGUAACGAUAAAGCGGGUGAAAAGCCCGCUCGCCGGAAGACCAAGGGUUCCUGUCCAACGUUAAUCGGGGCAGGGUGAGUCGACCCCUAAGGCGAGGCCGAAAGGCGUAGUCGAUGGGAAACAGGUUAAUAUUCCUGUACUUGGUGUUACUGCGAAGGGGGGACGGAGAAGGCUAUGUUGGCCGGGCGACGGUUGUCCCGGUUUAAGCGUGUAGGCUGGUUUUCCAGGCAAAUCCGGAAAAUCAAGGCUGAGGCGUGAUGACGAGGCACUACGGUGCUGAAGCAACAAAUGCCCUGCUUCCAGGAAAAGCCUCUAAGCAUCAGGUAACAUCAAAUCGUACCCCAAACCGACACAGGUGGUCAGGUAGAGAAUACCAAGGCGCUUGAGAGAACUCGGGUGAAGGAACUAGGCAAAAUGGUGCCGUAACUUCGGGAGAAGGCACGCUGAUAUGUAGGUGAAGUCCCUCGCGGAUGGAGCUGAAAUCAGUCGAAGAUACCAGCUGGCUGCAACUGUUUAUUAAAAACACAGCACUGUGCAAACACGAAAGUGGACGUAUACGGUGUGACGCCUGCCCGGUGCCGGAAGGUUAAUUGAUGGGGUCAGCGCAAGCGAAGCUCUUGAUCGAAGCCCCGGUAAACGGCGGCCGUAACUAUAACGGUCCUAAGGUAGCGAAAUUCCUUGUCGGGUAAGUUCCGACCUGCACGAAUGGCGUAAUGAUGGCCAGGCUGUCUCCACCCGAGACUCAGUGAAAUUGAACUCGCUGUGAAGAUGCAGUGUACCCGCGGCAAGACGGAAAGACCCCGUGAACCUUUACUAUAGCUUGACACUGAACAUUGAGCCUUGAUGUGUAGGAUAGGUGGGAGGCUUUGAAGUGUGGACGCCAGUCUGCAUGGAGCCGACCUUGAAAUACCACCCUUUAAUGUUUGAUGUUCUAACGUUGACCCGUAAUCCGGGUUGCGGACAGUGUCUGGUGGGUAGUUUGACUGGGGCGGUCUCCUCCUAAAGAGUAACGGAGGAGCACGAAGGUUGGCUAAUCCUGGUCGGACAUCAGGAGGUUAGUGCAAUGGCAUAAGCCAGCUUGACUGCGAGCGUGACGGCGCGAGCAGGUGCGAAAGCAGGUCAUAGUGAUCCGGUGGUUCUGAAUGGAAGGGCCAUCGCUCAACGGAUAAAAGGUACUCCGGGGAUAACAGGCUGAUACCGCCCAAGAGUUCAUAUCGACGGCGGUGUUUGGCACCUCGAUGUCGGCUCAUCACAUCCUGGGGCUGAAGUAGGUCCCAAGGGUAUGGCUGUUCGCCAUUUAAAGUGGUACGCGAGCUGGGUUUAGAACGUCGUGAGACAGUUCGGUCCCUAUCUGCCGUGGGCGCUGGAGAACUGAGGGGGGCUGCUCCUAGUACGAGAGGACCGGAGUGGACGCAUCACUGGUGUUCGGGUUGUCAUGCCAAUGGCACUGCCCGGUAGCUAAAUGCGGAAGAGAUAAGUGCUGAAAGCAUCUAAGCACGAAACUUGCCCCGAGAUGAGUUCUCCCUGACUCCUUGAGAGUCCUGAAGGAACGUUGAAGACGACGACGUUGAUAGGCCGGGUGUGUAAGCGCAGCGAUGCGUUGAGCUAACCGGUACUAAUGAACCGUGAGGCUUAACCUUACAACGCCGAAGGUGUUU